CGACGGCCGCUUGCCGUGCAGGUUGCCGCCGCGUUCCGGGCCGCAGCAGUAGUCCCGAUCGAGGUCGGUAAGGUAAUACUUGGCGCCGGGCAUCGACAGCACGUCCGCGCAGCCGCCGCCGACGUAUUGUCCGCACUGCACGAACUUGGCCCGAUAGCCGGCCAGAUGCAGCGAGCUCUUGUGGUACUGCUUGUGGUGGUACCUGACCGGAUCGUCCAGGGUGUGCUGUUGCUGAUGAUGAUGAUGAUGAUGAUGAUCGGUGACCUGCACGUUCCUACCCUCUUGCUGAUCCGCGCUGCUUAUCGACAUGUCUACCGGCUCCGUGUCGUCUCGCAGAAGUCGCCUGCCGGGAUAAUCCAUCUGCGCGUUCUUCGAGGCGAUGUGCGACUCCGUUUCGGUCCGAUCCGGACGAAGGGAUGGCGAAUGCUGAGCGUCGCCAUCGUUGGAAUAGGUCCGAAUGUAUUCUUGGGUUUGAUUAGCAGCCUGACCCGUGGAAGGGUAGGCAAUGCCGCGACCUUGACCUCCGGGGCAGAGUCCGUAGGUGAAUUUAGUCUGAGAGGAAUACUGGUACAGCCACGAACUGGAGCGCAUUACUUCCGCCUCCUUGUCGCUGUAAUUAUUUAUGCUUAUGCAUGUAUGAGUGAAGAGAUGAAAGAGAUAAUUGUGCACAAACAACCGCGUAAACAUACGUGAGCACUUGAUUCGUGCAAACAAUGAUAGGAUGCUGGCACUCAUCGGAGGUAUCCUUGACCUGCAGCACGCAAUGUACCCAGAACCACCUCCCAGAGCGGCUCUGCAGCUUCAGGAGAGCGGUAGUGGAUCGCUCUUGAUCGGACUGAAUAACUAAAGUCGUGAAUCAGAAAUGGAAAAAAUUACUUUUCAGAAAAAGUAAAAGAAGUAAGCCGUCCUUAUGGAGUCCCAAUGAAGCAGAUUGUACCAGGAGAUGUUGAGCAAUUCGGCGCGAGUGUACUCCAGAUGACUUUCCGCGCUGCGAAGAAGAAGGACGAGUUUUGCGGAUAGCCUAAUUUCCUUAUAUUAUUUAGAUACUUCAUGUCCAUCGAGUGAAUCGUGGUGAAGAUGUUGGUCGCGCCCUGGACGAUGCUCUCUCGAGUCUCCGGCAGGACCACCGGGGUGCAGGAGGCCAGGAAGACGAACUCGUUGCGGUUGCAGACGGGCACGAACGGCAGGAAGUGACCCUCUACGAGGACUACCUGUUGUGGAAAUGGAUGAAUAAUGUGGGAAUAAUCGGCGGUCGUUUUAAUCACCUUUUGAUCGCCGAACCGUAGCUGCCUGCGAGAAUUCCUCGACACGUUGAUUCGACAGAGAAAGAGCCUCCUGUCACUCGGGAUCGGACUGUUUCUGGAUAAUUGAUUUUGCACGACUAUAUGAUCCUGCUUGUCGAUCACGUCGUACACGCUGUCCCCGUGGAUGACCGGACAUCGCCUGGAAAAGAGGCACGAACUGUGAUCCCACGGAUGGAUCCCGAGAGAUGUGACCGAGAUACCAGAGAGUAUUGAUUCCUCACAUGCUGUUCCUCUUACGCUUCACUGUGUCUCGGACCUUAAUCGCUCGCGAUCUUCCAGCGGAGAGGUUCGAGAGAGGAAAAAAGGAGGAAGAGAGAGAGAAAGAGAAAGAUACCCAUUUCAAUCUCUGCUUUUUCGCGCGCUCGCCACCCUCCUCGCUCGGGGGUUCCUCGAAAAAGUAAAGGGGAAAGAGGAACACGCAGACCAAGGCCAUAAGCUGCAGCUGGGAAAGCCUCUGGCGUGUCGAGGGCGGCAACGGCAGCAAGUCACGUAGAUUCGCGAUUUCGGCGUUUAUCAGGUCCCUUCGUAGUUUGCUGGCGCCUUUCGUAGACUUGCUCGCAUCUAUCCUUCAAGCACACGCUGACGUCACUUGUGUACGACACGUGCGUGACGCGCCAUAUGAUUUUUGCGCGCGAAAAAUCGCUGACGGCACCCACUGGAUCCACAUCAAGUAUUACACCUUGUACUUCGGCGAGAAACACUAAGGUACCCUUCGCGAUACCUCCCAGGUAGCAACCGUACGUCAUUUUGACGUUUAAUGACGUCAGUUUGACAUUUAAUGACGUCAGUUUGCUACUUGGGCUGCUAUGGAAGAGCAAUAACUCACCCCCGAAUCGACACUACUAGAAAGACCAGCAAUGAUUGAUAGGGGUUCUCCGUUCGGUCAAGCUUUUGUCGGUCGAUUCCUCGGGGGUGGUCUUUAACGCGGCUCAUUUAAUGCAUUCGAAGCGGGUGGUCCUCGCCAAAGUACCGGUUGACAAGUGUUAACGGAGAACGACGACGCUGGUCCCAUGGCUGUAACUUACCGAUUGAACAUAUUUCGGUGGCCAGGAAGACAUCAGUGGUCUAUCACCGGUGGACAGCGAGCGGGAGGACAUCCGGGUCGGCAGGUACUCGCGAAACUGCGGCUACGAUCUAACAUCCGGGUCAUAACGCGCUACUACACUGAACACGUGGAUGAACUGGCGGAGGCUGGUUCUCCUACCACCACCAACAAUCGCCUCCUCCUCCUCCUGGCUUCACCACCAUCACCUCCUUCAUCGUCCACCUACUACUACUUCGUCUUCGCAGACCUCUCUCCCUCUCGCUCCCGCUCGCUUCACCGAGGUCUUUCCUUCGCCUCCUUCUCUCCCUCGCAUCGGUUGAAGCUAUCUCUCGAACUCGCUUUUACACCCGCUAGAUGUAUUCACUCGCUCGCUCUUAGGUCACGAUCGAGAGUGCGGAGUCCUGGGUCUCUCUACCACCGCCACCAUCAUCGCCACCACCUCCGCUACCGGUUGCACGUCUCUCUCUCUCUUUCUCUUCUCUGUGUAGAUGCGGUUUCUGCGCGGGUUCGCGACCAUCGCGUGGCUCGGCUUGGCUUGACUUGAGAAAUUUUCGGGAGCUAUUAUGCAAUUCGAUCACCAAUCCAAGUCCAGGUACUUGGUCACCGACAGAAGGAAGCAUAUCGGUCGUUAUCUGUUUUAUGAAGAGUCGCCUGUUGUAAACAAUAAAACAAACAUAUAUUAAAAUGUAUGUUAAAUCAUA